rnacentral:rRNA from 1 species
AUACGGAGGAUCCGAGCGUUAUCCGGAUUUAUUGGGUUUAAAGGGUGCGCAGGCGGGAGAUUAAGUCGGCGGUGAAAUUUUGCAGCUCAACUGUAAAAGUGCCUUCGAAACUGGUUUCCUUGAGUGUAGAUGAAGUAGGCGGAAUUUGUGGUGUAGCGGUGAAAUGCAUAGAUAUCACGAGGAACUCCGAUUGCGCAGGCAGCUUACUAAACUACUACUGACGCUCAGGCACGAAGGCGUGGGGAUCAAACAGGAUUAGAUACCCUGGUAGUCCACGCAGUAAACGAUGAUUGCUAGCUGUUUGCGAUACAAUGUAAGCGGCUGAGCGAAAGCGUUAAGUAAUCCGCCUGGGGAGUACGUUCGCAAGAAUGAAACUCAAAUGAAUUGACGUGG